rnacentral:rRNA from 1 species
UGGGGAAUAUUGGGCAAUGGGCGAAAGCCUGACCCAGCAACGCCGCGUGAAGGAAGAAGGUUUUCGGAUUGUAAACUUCUGUCCUAAGUGACGAAGGAAGUGACGGUAGCUUAGGAGGAAGCCCCGGCUAACUACGUGCCAGCAGCCGCGGUAAUACGUAGGUGGCAAGCGUUGUCCGGAUUUACUGGGUGUAAAGGGCGUGCAGCCGGGUCUGCAAGUCAGAUGUGGAAUCCAUGGGCUCAACCCAUGAACUGCAUUUGAAACUGUGGAUCUUGAGUGUCGGAGGGGCAAUCGGAAUUCCUAGUGUAGCGGUGAAAUGCGUAGAUAUUAGGAGGAACACCAGUGGCGAAGGCGGAUUGCUGGACGAUAACUGACGGUGAGGCGCGAAAGUGUGGGGAGCAAACAGGAUUAGAUACCCUGGUAGU